rnacentral:rRNA from 1 species
CCCUUAGAUGUUCUGGGCCGCACGCGCGCUACACUGAUGCAUUCAACGAGCCUAUCCUUGACCGACAGGUCCGGGUAAUCUUUGAAUCUGCAUCGUGACGGGGAUAGAUUAUUGCAAUUCUUAAUCUUCAACGAGGAAUGCCUAGUAGGCGCAAGUCAUCAGCUUGCGUCGAUUACGUCCCUGCCCUUUGUACACACCGCCCGUCGCUCCUACCGAUUGGGUGUGCUGGUGAAAUGUUCGGAUCGGCCGUUUGUCGCGGUUUCCGCGUCAUGUGGCUGAGAAGUUCAUUAAACCCUCCCACCGAGAGGAAGGAGAAGUCGUAACA